rnacentral:rRNA from 1 species
AUUGAACGCUGGCGGCAGGCCUAACACAUGCAAGUCGAACGGUAACAGGAAACAGCUUGCUGUUUCGCUGACGAGUGGCGGACGGGUGAGUAAUGUCUGGGAAACUGCCUGAUGGAGGGGGAUAACUACUGGAAACGGUAGCUAAUACCGCAUAACGUCGCAAGACCAAAGAGGGGGACCUUCGGGCCUCUUGCCAUCGGAUGUGCCCAGAUGGGAUUAGCUAGUAGGUGGGGUAACGGCUCACCUAGGCGACGAUCCCUAGCUGGUCUGAGAGGAUGACCAGCCACACUGGAACUGAGACACGGUCCAGACUCCUACGGGAGGCAGCAGUGGGGAAUAUUGCACAAAGGGCGCAAGCCUGAUACAGCCAUGCCGCGUGUAUGAAGAAGGCCUUCGGGUUGUAAAGUACUUUCAGCGGGGAGGAAGGGAGUAAAGUUAAUACCUUUACUCAUUGACGUUACCCGCAGAAGAAGCACCGGCUAACUCCGUG